rnacentral:other from 1 species
GGAAUUACUGUUUUAACGCAGAAAGCGUUUAGCCAUGGCGUUAGUAUGAGUGUCGUGCAGCUUCCAGGACCCCCCCUCCCGGGAGAGCCAUAGUGGUCUGCGGAACCGGUGAGUACACCGGAAUUGCCAGGAUGACCGGGUCCUUUCUUGGAUCAACCCGCUCAAUGCCUGGAGAUUUGGGCGUGCCCCCGCGAGACUGCUAGCCGAGUAGUGUUGGGUCGCGAAAGGCCUUGUGGUACUGCCUGAUAGGGUGCUUGCGAGUGCCCCGGGAGGU